GAUGAACGCUGGCGGUGUGCCUAAUACAUGCAAGUCGAGCGAACAGACGAGGCUCUUCCUCCGCUUACGUUAGCGGCGGACGGGUGAGUAACACGUGGAUAACCUACCUAUAAGACUGGGAUAACUUCGGGAAACCGGAUCUAAUACCGGAUAACAUGUUGAACCGCAUGGUUCAACAGUGAAAGACGUUCUUGCUGUCACUUAUACAUGGUUCCGCGUCGCAUUAGCUAGUUGGUAAGGUAACGGCGUACCAAGGCAACGAUGCGUAACCGACCUGAGAGGGUGAUCGGUCACACUGGAACUGAGACACGGUCCAGACUCCUACGGGAGGCAGCAGUAGGGAAUAUUCGGCAAUGGGCGAAAGCCUGACGGAGCAACGCCGCGUGAGUGAAGAAGGUCUUCGGAUCGUAAAACACUGUUAUUAGGGAAGAACAAAUGUGAAAGUAACCAUUGCCGUCUUGACGGUACCUACACAGAAAGCACCGGCUAACUACGUG
rnacentral:rRNA from 1 species